GUUCCUAGAAGCAAUUUGGAGAGACAAGGCUGACAAUUUCAAAAUGCCACAUGUAAUUUAACAAGUUGGUAUUUGUUUGGGUUGCUAACAAUUAGCCACUAAACAUUGUGUGUAUCCAUAUUUGGCACAGGAGACAGGAGCCAAUGCCAGAUUUCAAAACAGUGUUCUUCCAUUCAUGACAACAUAGUUCAUGUUUUUUAAAAAUAAUCAUCACUAUUUUAUUUGGAUGACGUGGAAUUAGAGAUAAAAGAAAAAUCUUACAGAGGUCAGAAGUGGAACAGGAGGCAGACAUGAGAUGCAAAGUGAAUUGCUGGGGAGGAGCAAUUGUUAAGGCAGUUUCUCAUUAAACGUAUAAUAAUGUCAGAUGAAAAUGACUAUGAACUUCAUGAAACUACAGUAUUCUCUCCAAGGAGGAAAGGUUCAUGUUGAAUAUCAAGAGAAGC
rnacentral:lncRNA from 1 species